UACGGAGGGUGCGAGCGUUACCCGGAUUUACUGGGUGUAAAGGGCGUGUAGGCGGUCUUUCAAGCCCGAUGCUAAAGACCGGGGCUCAACCCCGGGGGUGCGUUGGAUACUGUGAGGCUAGACGGUCGGAGGGGGUAGCGGAAUUUCCGGAGUAGCGGUGAAAUGCGCAGAUACCGGAAGGAACGCCGAUAGCGAAGGCAGCUACCUGGACGAUUGGUGACGCUGAGGCGCGAAAGCGUGGGGAGCAAACCGG
rnacentral:rRNA from 1 species